rnacentral:rRNA from 1 species
GUUUCAGCCGCCGCGGUAAGACAGAGGCCCCAAGCGUUAGGCGGAAUCACUGGGCUUAAAGCGCGUGUAGGCGGAUCGUUAAGUGCCUUGUGAAAUCCUGCGGCUCAACCGCAGAACUGCUGGGCAUACUGGCGAUCUUGGGCCACUCAGGGGUCACUGGAACAAGCGGUGGAGCGGUGAAAUGCGUAGAUAUCGCUUGGAACGCCAAAGGUGAAGACAGGUGACUGGGGGUGUGCCGACGCUGAGACGCGAAAGCCAGGGGAGCAAACGGGAUUAGAUACCCUGGUAGUCC